rnacentral:rRNA from 1 species
AACCUCCGCAAUGUGAGAAAUCGCGACGGGGGGAUCCCAAGUGCCAUUCUUAACGGGAUGGCUUUUCAUUAGUGUAAAGAGCUUUUGAAAUAAGGGCUGGGCAAGACCGGUGCCAGCCGCCGCGGUAACACCGGCAGCUCUAGUGGUAGCAGUUUUUAUUGGGCCUAAAGCGUCCGUAGCCGGUUUAAUAAGUCUCUGGUGAAAUCCUGUAGCUUAACUGUGGGAAUUGCUGGAGAUACUAUUAGACUUGAGACCGGGAGAGGUUAGAGGUACUCCCAGGGUAGAGGUGAAAUUCUGUAAUCCUGGGAGGACCGCCUGUUGCGAAGGCGUCUAACUGGAACGGUUCUGACGGUGAGGGACGAAAGUUAGGGGCGCGAACCGGAUUAGAUACCCGGGUAGUCCUAACUGUAAACGAUGCGGACUUGGUGUUGGGGUGGCUUUGAGCUGCUCCAGUGCCGAAGGGAAGCUGUUAAGUCCGCCGCCUGGGAAGUACGGUCGCAAGACUGAAACUUAAAAGGAUG